CAUCAAAUUUGGAGCAGUGGUUGCCGAGAAAAACGAUUUCUCCUUUCCCAUGUAUUCAGAUGGGAACCCCCGUGCUAAAGCUGCCAAUGCUCGUAAAUCGGAGGGGCCAAAGAAACUGAAACAAAAUAUUGUUUGUGAUGGCGCCACAACAGCUCGCCAAACGCGCGCGGUGCGAAUACGAAAGUUCGUCAACGGUGAGAUACGAGCGCGGGAAACUGCUGCCUGUGGGCAAGCUGGCGCCCGCUUGACAGCUCAACGUUUUCCGUUUGUGCUUACGAGGCGGCGUUACUUGACAGAAGAUAAUAAUACUUUGAUGCUCUUCUCACGCCUACAAAUGAGGGCGACGUGAUAAACAGCACAGCACGCGAAAGGGUACGUGAACGCCAACGAACGGCGUGCCGCCAACAACUGCAUGGGCUGUCAUUUCAGUGUAUUCUUCCCGCCUUUGGAAGAAGCAUUUUGGACUAAAGCUACCUUGAUAUGUACAAAACAUGGGAGACUACACACAGGAUUAUGAAUGGCUACCUGAACGCUGCUUGAAGCAGCGAGCUCUACAGCACCACUCAUGCCCCUUUCCAUGGGUUGGCAAGAGGAGCAGUGGCACACAACUCUACAGGCACUUGUGCUUUUCAUCAUCUUUGGAGGAGAUGCAUUGGGUGCUCCAUACCAUGCACUGCCAUUUCAAUACACCAAGGCUUUUCGUGUGGAUUCCUUCCCUUUUCAAGGCCACCACUGCUUGCACAGCAUCAUCAGCCUACCUUCCUUGAUAUUCAUGUUCCAUAUGGCAGAAGAAAAUACAAAAUGCCUACUCUGAAAUACAUGCGUGGCUCCAUGCAGCACUCGCUGCCGUCAGGGUGCUAGGACUUUGUGCAAAGAAAAUGUUCGUAAUGAUGCUAUAUGUGUACAGCCUUGGUGGUUAAGUGUUGCCCGCUUCGCCUAUAAGAGAAUUUCACACUUAUGGGCACUGUUAAAGGUUCGUGUGUUAAAUGUUUGACAUCCUAUAGAAAUUUUCAUGUUUCAGUAUAACAGCAAAAUUAUAGUUCAAUUGCUGCUUUUUGUGAUAUGCAAUAUACAGCUGAAGGUGAUUAGCAGUGGUGAAACAGGUGUUGUAUGAGGUGGUAAAUUGUUUUCAACAGGGGAGUUGUCUUUGCUAGGGCAACAACUGUUUUCCUUGGCAGCAUUUAUAUAGUUCACUUAUCCCCACUCCAUAGACAUCUAGGAGAAUAAGCAGGGUUGCAUAGAGUAGGGUGAGGUAAGUUGGAAUGCUCAACAUGAGGGUUUAGUUGGGAAGGUAAGGUGUGUGGAAUAGGGGAGUUUCCUCAGACCACUCAGAUUGCUGACAUUGGUCUUGGUCUUUGUGCCGGUGUUGGUUAUAUAACACAAGGCGCGUUUUGAGGUAAGAUAUCUUGAAAAAAAACUCCUUAUAUUCGUGUAAAUUCGGUAUGUGCCCCUGGGGCUGCAAUAGGUUAGCACCACUGAGGCCACUGGUUAUGUGCCCCUGGGGCCACUGCAUGGGCAUAUGCAGGUCGUCAAUGAACCUCUUUGACACCAACUUGUGUAUGUGCCACUCUUUAAUGAACCUGUUUGAUGCCAACUAGGGUCAGGUGGCAUCGCAACAAGCACCUAUGUAGUGAUAUCUACAUAUGCAUCGUUGUCAGCUGGAGUUGUCUACUAGACCCCUUGUUGGAUUGUUAACCUCAACCUGAGACAUCACCUGCUUGACUACUGUUACAUUGUGACCAUCUUGCUGUGAACUUUUGUCAUGUUCACUAGUUGGGUAGUUUGUAUUUCAAGUAUUGCACAUUGCUAAGGAAAUUGAUUCAGAGUGGGGUGUGCGACCUUGGCUUCUUUUUUCUUUGCAGCAGCAUAUUACAUGCGAGCAUAGCAUGUGAGAGUAAGUUGUAUGUAGAUAUCAAUUCGAAAUAGCAUAGGUAUUCAAAAGUACUUUCACUGUUUAUUUUCCUUCGGGUCAUUGCUGCUGUCAGGCCUACAUUGCAUCAUUCAUUGUAGCAUGCUCGUUUACUGGCAAAAAGAAGUGUGACCUGUUCAAACAGAUACAAGAAUCGCCGAAUAGCUCAUGGUGUUGUCUUGAGCUACUCCCUUUUGGUCUUGGCUGCACUUGUGGAUUUAUAAGUGUACUGAAUGAAGCUUGUCAAAUGCUUGAAUUCCCUGUCAUACUUGUUUGCUUGUUUAUAUCCAAUUUAUUGAAUCAAUUCACUUCACUAUGCCAACAAUUGCUGAUUGUAUUUAAUGCUGGCACAUUUGGUUGUGGAAUUCCAAUAAAUUUCCAGACACUUUAUUGCUUUGUCAUACAUCUCGGAGCUCCUCAAAGGGCCCAUUCUACUAAACACACAUACAAAAAAAAACUCCCUUCAGCCUCAUAAAAUUCCCAAAAGGAGCCUAAUAAACUCCCAGAGCUUCCUGUAAAAGCUCUGAAAAGGAGCUAAAAAGUACUCCCAAAACAUUUGUUUAAAACUCCCUAACUAAAACAAAGCUCCUUAAAAGUGUGAAGAGGAACUCCCAGACAUUCUCCUAUAUAUUCCCAUAAAAAGCAAAAAAUUAAUUCCCAAAGCUAUCCAUAAAAGCUCCCUUAAGCAAAGCUCCCAAAAUAUGGAAGCAAUUGCUCCCAUAUUUACACCUAAGCACUCCCAUAAAAAGUAAAAAUAAUUUCCCAAAGGCAUCCUUAAAAAGUCCCUCAAGAAGCCACGCCGCUCGGAAAAUAUGUUUGUAAUAGCUCCCAUCGCUUCUCCUAUAAAUUCCCAAAAGAAGCAAAAUAAAAUACCCAAGCCAACCUAUAAAGGCACCCAGGGUACCUCAUAAAACCUCCCACAGUCCCGGUGUUCAAAGCAGUAAUAAAAAACUCCUAACUUUCCUCAUAAAGACGCCAGCAGCGACAUCCUUUAAAGGAACUAUACAAAACUCCCACGGUACCCCCAAAAAAUUCCAACAACAAGGGUGUGAAUAAAAACUCCAUUCUGAUGGAGUUUCUUGUGCUCCCAUUAGGGUGUGAGUUAUGCAACGAGCCUAAAACUCCCUAAAAGGGUAAAACCUGUUAA